CAAUGUUACUGUAGUUACCUCAAAGGAAAAGCAGUUGUCUCAAGUCGGAUGCCAAAGUGUGUGAGCGUGCGAGCUUGCAGCAGCAUCGAGCUGUUCCCACAAAAACACAACGUUGGAGGUAACUACCUGACUUUUCAGCGAGUGCAGUGAUGAUAAUCUCCAGAGAAUGAGGCUGACCAGGUCAUUGGAGCGGCCCGAGGGUACAGGUCAUAUAGCCUACUCAUGAUUUGCUAUUAACUCUUCCCACCUUAUUACUGUUUAUUUUCCUCCGUUUGACCUUUCUUUUUGUAAAUUUGCAAAUAAACAUUAACAUUUUGCUAGCAAUUCAUUAGCAUUACCAUGCUAAUAAAGACUGAUUUCUGAAACCUCCACUGACCUCCAGAGUCGAUGUGGUGACAAAGACAACCUUCUCAAAAGCACUGUACACUCUCCUCUGAACAAGGACAGAGAGCCACCAGUGACAUGUAUUUGGCUUUGUUCCCUGGAGAAGAGAGAGUCAGCUGACUCAGUUCUGAAGGAUAAUCAAAUCAAGGUACUGACCUGAGUCUCACAAACUGCACCAGGACAGUUGAUUUCAGUGGGAUCCUAAGUGUAAUCUUACAGUUGGGGAAAGUCCCUUAAAAAUGUAUGUAAAUACAAGUUUGAGGUACUUCACGUGAGUUAUGUGCAUUUUAUGCUGCUUAAUACUUUUUAUUCAUUUCAGGGGUUUUUACUCCACUAUAUAUAUUUGACGGUUAAUGUAAUAAUUGACAAGAACAUCAGCUCCAUUUCUGUAAAUGUUUCUGCACUUGUUUUGUUAACAUGAGCAGCUUGUUAACACAGUGUGCUACAAGUAGCCUACAAGUUAUGGCUGUUAUCUCAGAUGUAUAAUGCAUCAACUGAUCUCGUAACAUAAACAUGAGAUACUGACUGAUAACAAUGCUCAAGACUGAACAACACAAAGAGCUUCUGCUGUUCAGUGCUUGUUUAUGUGUGUUAUUGUUAAUAUAUGUUUUGUGCUCCCCACUCAUAAUGUGAACACACAUGAUAUCUGUUUAUGUGCAUGACAAAAACAUUGAUCAGCCAGAGGAUAUUCGGUACCAAAAAGAUUAACUUUGUAAUAUAUCCUCUUGAUUUUUCUAAUUUCUACAGCAGGAGCCUUAUGUAAGCUUCUGAUAAAAUGAUGAAAACAUUUUUGCAUAAAACAAGGACUGCGGAUUGUGUCCCUAAUCACUGACGUUGCAGAUUAGGAAGGGAUGUUUCAAUUGUCAUUAUAAAAAGUAAGAAUGAUUUAAGCAAGCAAAAAAAUAUUAUAUGUAAGUGCUCACUUGGGAACCUGACUGUUGUUUGAAGACUGACUGGAAAAAUUUCCAUUCAACUGCUGCACAAAUUAGGGAGUUUUAGUUGGUGCGUAACAGGUGCAGUGCACAUACACAAAUGUGAAAUUUGUCUACAUGCAAGCAAUUACAUGUAUCUCAUUCUUUUUGUUUUAUAAACAAAUGAUGUGCUAUUUUAUUUUUCUUAACCAAAAAAGAAGAAACCUGAAUUUUCUGAAUGUGAAAAUAUAAAUUCUCUGGGUUGUUUGACUAAUCUUAAACAGGAGCUCAAAUAAAACUGCGAGCAACAGGAAA